UACGUAGGGUGCAAGCGUUAAUCGGAAUUACUGGGCGUAAAGCGUGCGCAGGCGGUGAUGUAAGACAGGUGUGAAAUCCCCGGGCUUAACCUGGGAACUGCAUUUGUGACUGCAUUGCUGGAGUGCGGCAGAGGGGGAUGGAAUUCCGCGUGUAGCAGUGAAAUGCGUAGAUAUGCGGAGGAACACCGAUGGCGAAAGCAAUCCCCUGGGCCUGCACUGACGCUCAUGCACGAAAGCGUGGGGAGCAAACAGG
rnacentral:rRNA from 1 species